CUCCCUCCUUCUCUAAACCCUCAAGAACACACAUUAGCUUUUCAAAGCUUUUCUUCCCUAUUUGUUUGAAGGAAUCACAUGCAAACACAGCCUGUUAAGCGCUUGAAUUUUUGAAGGAGCAUCACUGAAAACCAUUUUUCCAUUUAAAAACCAUCACUGCUACCCAUUUGUUCCCGACCUUGCAUGAACAGUCGAAGAGAAAGUAGGUUGCUCACUCCUUCUCUGCAUUCGACUUUGGGCCUAACAACACACCACAUUUUCAUCCUGGUCUUGCAACACACAUUGAAAAUCAACACAUUUCUUCCUCUGAUUGGCUAAUAAAACAACACAUUCCCAGAGUACUUCAUGUUGGGAUUGAUUCAAAAAACCAACAAAUUCAUAGUUUUAUGUCUACCGAAAAGGAGACGAUCAUCGAGGAACCCUUCUAGUUGAUAGCUGUGGGGUGGACUCGACUCCUUGAAACGUCGUUGAUUGCUCGUAGCUUCAUGACCAGCCAGGAUGAUGGGAACUCAAGGUGAUGUGUCUGUGAAGAGGAGACUUUUAUAUUUAAGUUUUGAGAUACUCUAUGUAGUAGACUUAUAGAAUUUGUAGAACUAGGUGUUAAUAUGGGUUAUGUGGAUUUGUGGACUUUUAUAUUUUUGAGGUUCUGGUAUAACUGUUGGUUUUGUGUAUAGUUGUCAUGGCCGAUGAAUUUAGAUAUUGUGAUCCAACUUUAUAGCAAUUUGUUGGACCCAGUCAUCUUUUUCGGUACGUAACCUAUGAUAACUCAACUUACUUAGUUUAUAAAUGAGUCGAAUUGUUACAUGA